CCUACGGGAGGCAGCAGUGAGGAAUAUUGGACAAUGGGCGGAAGCCUGAACCAGCAACGUCGCGUGAGGGAUGAAGGCCCUGCGGGUCGUAAACCUCUUUUGCCGGGAAGCAGAGGUCCGGACGUGUCCGGGCCGGGAGAGUACCCGAAGACAAAGCAUCGGCUAACUCCGUGCCAGCAGCCGCGGUAAUACGGAGGAUGCGAGCGUUAUCCGGAUUUAUUGGGUGUGAAGGGUGCGUAGGCGGGCAUUUAAGCCUGCGGUCAAAUGUCGGGGCUCACCCCCGGCCUGCCGUCGGAACUGGGUGCCUUGAGUGGGCGAGAAGUAUGCGGAAUGCGUGGUGUAGCGGUGAAAUGCAUAGAUAUCACGCAGAACCCCGAUGGCGAAGGCAGCAUACCGGCGCCCUACUGACGCUGAGGCACGAAAGUGCGGGUAUCGAACAGGAUUAGAUACCCUAGUAGUC
rnacentral:rRNA from 1 species